rnacentral:rRNA from 1 species
UACGAAGGGUGCAAGCGUUAAUCGGAAUUACUGGGCGUAAAGGGUGCGUAGGCGGUUCGUUAAGUCUGUCGUGAAAUCCCCGGGCUCAACCUGGGAAUGGCGAUGGAUACUGGCGAGCUAGAGUGUGUCAGAGGAUGGUGGAAUUCCCGGUGGAGCGGUGAAAUGCGUAGAGAUCGGGAGGAACAUCAGUGGCGAAGGCGGCCAUCUGGGACAACACUGACGCUGAAGCACGAAAGCGUGGGGAGCAAACAGG